AGUCCCGUGCCUCCUGGCUCCAACGCCUACGUUUCCCAGACUUCCAUGUCUCCUGGCUCCAAUGCCUGCAUUUCCCAGAGUCCGUGCUCAUGAUCCCAGGUCUUCCAGGACUUUCUUGUCUGGCUGAGGGCCGUGUAUUUCAGUUCCGCACUCUUGCGCUUAUUGGCCAGAGUUAGACUCUGUUGUUUGUUUGUUCUUAAGUUUGUGUCCUUAGUUAUAGUCUCUGUGUUUGUUUAGUAUCCCCUGUUAGUUUCAUAGUUACUCCCCGUUUGUGUUCCCCAGCGUUACAAGGUUCUCAACCUUUCAAAUGCUCUGAUGUCCAAUGUACCUGAUGUUGUAAACUACUGAUCCCCUCAAUAUUCUACAAAAAUAAUUUUACUUUAAAUAUACUGCAAAUGUCUUGUUGUGUUUGCCUUGACUGAAUUAAGACUAUAUUAUCACUUUAGGCUGUCAGACUGCAGUAUCACAGAGGAGGGCUAUGCUAGUCUGGCUUCAGCCUUGAGGUUAAAUCCCAAUCAUCUCAGAGAGCUGGAUCUCAGAGGAAAUGAUCCGGGGGAAUCAGGAGUCAAACUGCUUUUAGACCUGAAGGAGGACCCACAGUGUAAACUGAAAAAUCUCAGGUUCCUGAAGGGGAGUGCUGCUGAGGAAGCCUGUGCUGCUGUGACUUCAGCUGUGGGUUCAAACCCCUUACUCAUGACUAAGCUGAGUCUGAGUAAGCUCAUGCCAGAAUCCUUGGGAGUGACUCAGCUGUGUGCUUUACUGGAGGAUUCCCACUGCAGACUGCAACAACUGAUCCUGUCAAACUGCAGUAUUACA